UCUUCGUUCUGCCACUGACCUAUUCAGACAGCCACCUCUUCAACCGCGUCUUCAUCGGAGAUUCCAAUUCCGGGUCGGGUUUUGUCUCCACAAGCCGGUCUAUUUCAGUCACCAACAACAAAAGCUCACCCUCUCCUCACAACACAGCAAGAGUUUUCACCACUGCUUCAAGCUAUAGCUUCAGCAUCAAGAAAAUGGGAACUCACUUGAUAUAUGCAGAUGAAUAGUAUACAUUUUGCGGGGAAGAGUCAUAAAGCAAAACAUAUCUUGGUCAGAUUUGUUCUGCUGGAGGUCCUAUGUUCUGUAUGUAUAAUGGUUUUAGCUAUUUAUACUUUUUGAUUCCUUGAAGAAUUAAUCAUGGUUGGGAUCCCUGAUCACCAGAAUAAUUGGAAAUUUGAAACUUUCAAUUUCAAAUAUUCGCAUCAGAUAUGAGGAUGUUGAGAGCAAUUUUGGUCAUCUGUUUGCAGCAGGCAUAACCUUGGAGAGACUUUCAGCCAUGACGAUUGAUGAUAGUGAAAAGAGACAUUAGAGCUGCUUACAGAAGGUUAUACUUAUAUAAGAAUCAAGUUGCUAAACGGCGGAUCUCAAUUACACUUCAGUUCUAUAGUCAACCCCCCGCAACUGGCUCAAAGACAGGUUAAUUGAUACAAACAGCGAAAAUUCUCUGUGUGGCUGUUGUCUUUCUAGCAGAAGGUUUUAUUACUUCAAACAACAAUCAUAAAAAAGGCAAUGAUGUACUUUUGGCGCUGAUGAAGCAGUUAUGCGACACCAAUGAAAUUCAUGCAUCAUCAGUUUUGAAGAUCCGAUAUGCAGAAAUGGAAUCCAUAAGAGUAUAUCUCUUACUUUCUCUUCUCCAAUGAGUGGUGUGAAUGAACAAAUAGCUUGGUUGUUUGAUUUGAUUUGGAUACAGAAUGUAAAAUUUGAAUACUGUAUAUCAAGGCUAGGACUAGGUGACAAACAAUUGUGUCUAAGAAGACUGUACAAGGAAUGCUUUCAUGUAAAUUUUUAAUUACUUCAACAUUGA